rnacentral:rRNA from 1 species
UACGUAGGGUGCGAGCGUUACUCGGAAUUACUGGGCGUAAAGCGUGCGCAGGCGGCUUGCCAAGUCAGAUGUGAAAGCCCCGGGCUCAACCCGGGAACGGCGUUUGAAACUGGCAGGCUAGAGUUUGGCAGAGGGGGGUGGAAUUCCACGUGUAGCAGUGAAAUGCGUAGAGAUGUGGAGGAACACCGAUGGCGAAGGCAGCCCCCUGGGCCAAAACUGACGCUCAGGCACGAAAGCGUGGGGAGCAAACAGG